UGAGUGAAGAAGGUUUUCGGAUCGUAAAGCUCUGUUGUUAGAGAAGAAUGAUGGUGGGAGUGGAAAAUCCACCAAGUGACGGUAACUAACCAGAAAGGGACGGCUAACUACGUGCCAGCAGCCGCGGUAAUACGUAGGUCCCGAGCGUUGUCCGGAUUUAUUGGGCGUAAAGCGAGCGCAGGCGGUUUUUUAAGUCUGAAGUUAAAGGCAUUGGCUCAACCAAUGUACGCUUUGGAAACUGGAGAACUUGAGUGCAGAAGGGGAGAGUGGAAUUCCAUGUGUAGCGGUGAAAUGCGUAGAUAUAUGGAGGAACACCGGUGGCGAAAGCGGCUCUCUGGUCUGUAACUGACGCUGAGGCUCGAAAGCGUGGGGAGCAAACAGGAUUAGUCCCAGACCAGCUGCAGCAGCUGGUCUGGGACUAUGAAUACUAU
rnacentral:rRNA from 1 species